GGGCUGUGUGACAUCACGUUGAUUUCAGAGCCUGACUGAGCCUCCCGAGCCCUGUCCCUUUGCUCCCAUUCUCCUCCACGCUGUCUCGCAGCCUAAGCUGCCACUAACCCCUCCGCCUCCGCCUCCGCCUCAGAGAGCUCUUUGCCUCUUCUCCUAAAGAGUCCACGCGUGCUUAACAGGUCAUGGGUACCCUGUGGCGGGGGAGAUGGAGGCUCAGCCCUGACAACAACACGGACUCCCUGGUCACUGCCUGACCGGCCAUCACUGAGCGCCAGCGUGGCGCCACCACCUGUGGAAGCAGCCCGCAGGGGCGGCCGCCAGAGGCACAGACUUCGCCCACGUGGAGGGAUGACGAUCAUUCUCACUGGAAUAGCCGUGCAGCCAUCCCUGCCCUGGACUCCUCCAUCCUGUGCUCGGGAAUGUCUGCUGACCACCACAGUCGUUCUCUGUGACAUGGAUCCACAAGGAUCUCACUCUUGAGCAAGAUGUGCCACAAUGGCCUCUGCCCAGGGAAGUCGCCAGCCUCUCCACGGGCCCUGCCACCCAGAAGAGCCUGUGCAGUAGGCUGACCCCUGGGGAGUUUGGUGUGCACCCCUGGGGGACACCACCAAACCACCAUGUGAGGCUGGAGGUCCUCUCUCCUGGAUGAAGCUCAUGCUUGAACCAGAGGCGGACCGGAGCCAGCUGCAGUGAGCUCUGCGCAUGACACCUCCGCUGCUCGCUGGCCUCUUGACUGUGUGCACACUUGUCUCUAGCUACUCUUUUACCCCUCAUUCCCCUGUUGAGGUCGGUGACUGUUGCUGAAAGUUAACUUUGCGGUUUAGUCUCAGGAGGCCCAGAUAGGAGACCGUCUAGAAAUCCGGGCUCCACCCAGCUCCUAGCGCACACUCACGACCAGCCUGCUUGCUCGCCUGGUGAACAGGCCCCGGAGGGAUGCAUGCCAUCCGCAGUGACGGUGUCUUGUCCCCCGCUGGAGCCCUCCGUGGCUGACCUGUAGGCCAGAUGCUCUGCUCUGGAUAGUCCGCCUUGGGGACAAAGGCGAGCAGCCAGGUGGGGUCAUCCUGGCUAAGAGCAGCGGGCAGCAGUCCUGCCAGCUGUUCUCCGAGACAAUGAUGCACACUCAGAGUGGAAGGACAUCGGUUGCCAGAGUUGCAAACUGCGCGCUUUUCGAGGCCUGGGCAAUGACCCUGGCCAGGCGGCUCCCACCGCAGAAGCUGGCCCGCGGGGCCCGCCCCGCACCAUGGCCACAGUGCUCAGUGGAACAGAAGAUACCUUGCAGCUCCGCCUGGCCUCGUCCACUUCCCUGGCGCGGACAGGAAACCCUGCCUGCGAGGUCCCAGGUCCUGCUGCCCGCCGGCGCUGGAGCCAGAAGCCUUUUAACUUUCAGCGUGCGCUCUGCAGCAGCACUUCCCGGGAGCGCCUGUCCUGGAGACUGGCCUCCGCACACCCUUCUUCCAGCUGCAGACUGGAGGCCUCGCGCGGUCCGCUCUGGACACCGGCUCUUGCGCAUGCUCCUUGAACGCCGGGGUUGGGGAGUGGGGGGCGCCACAGGCGGGGCUUGGGGCUGGGCGUGGAGGACUCUGGCUAGCCAGGCCCAGCCGGCCCGGGCAGGCUGUGUGGCGGAGGCCUGGGCCGAACCUCACCUUUCUUUGCCCGCCCUCCCUCGCUGUCCUCUCCACCUCCUUGCCUUCCCCCUUCUCCCCUCCUCUCCCUUCCCCCAACUCCCUUCUCCUCCUCCUUCUCUCUCUAGGUUUUCGUUUUCCUUUUUUCAGUACUGGGGCUUGAACCCUGAAGCGCUCUACCACUGACCACAUCUCCAGCCCUUUUUAUUAUUUAUUUUGAGACAGGAUCUUGCUGACUUGCUGAGGCUGGCCUCGAACUUGUGACCCUCCCUCCUCAGCCUCCUGGGUUUCGGGGACCAUAGGAAUGAGCCCGGUUCCUGAACUGCACAGAAGACGGGCAGAGGCAGGAGCACUGGCGGCUCACGGAGGGUACAGGCCUCCAGGGGUCAUGGCUGGUGCUGACCCUGAGCAUGACUGCCGUCAGGUUUUUCCCUGUACAGAGAUCCUGCCUCCUGCUACCCCUACCGCAUCCCGUGGGAGCAAGUCAGCUCACGCAGCCUACAUGGAGGAAGACAGAACAUGUGCAAACUUUAUUUGGAAUUCUUCUCCACGGAGUUCUGCCAUCCUUCAAUCAGCCUUUCCCAGGAGUACUGCCUGCUGUUUUGGAAAAUGGUGUUAAAAACCAAGAUUCCUCACAAUCCUCGCGGCGGGGUGUCACUGCUCCUAAGUGCCUUGGGAGCCAGGGCCUUUAGUGCAGCGAGCUGCUUUGGGAACCCAUCAGUCAGUAUGUCCCACGUACGUCGACAUGCAACCCUCUCCAUCUAACUGGGAUUCCUUGUCGCAGAGCACUCUGACCUCUUUCCCUUGCUGGUGGCAAUGUGGGCUACAACCCCAAGAACCCUGGGCUGCCCUCCCAAAAGUAACCCCAGGGUGCAGGCCUGGCUGUACUGAGUACUUACCGCUGGCCCCUGGGAGUAAAGGCUGUUUUUGGUUAUCAUGCUCUUAUUAAAGGCAUUAAGCUCUUUUCUGACCCCAA